CCUACGGGGCGCAGCAGUGAGGAAUAUUGGUCAAUGGACGCAAGUCUGAACCAGCCAUGCCGCGUGCAGGAAGACGGCUCUAUGAGUUGUAAACUGCUUUUGUACGAGGGUAAACGCAGAUACGCGUAUCUUUCUGAAAGUAUCGUACGAAUAAGGAUCGGCUAACUCCGUGCCAGCAGCCGCGGUAAUACGGAGGAUUCAAGCGUUAUCCGGAUUUAUUGGGUUUAAAGGGUGCGUAGGGGGUCGGAUAAGUUAGAGGUGAAAUCCCGAGGCUCAACUUCGGAAUUGCCUCUGAUACUGUUCGGCUAGAGAGUAGUUGCGGUAGGCGGAAUGUAUGGUGUAGCGGUGAAAUGCUUAGAGAUCAUACAGAACACCGAUUGCGAAGGCAGCUUACCAAGCUACUUCUGACGUUGAGGCACGAAAGCGUGGGGAGCAAACAGGAUUAGAUACCCUAGUAGUC
rnacentral:rRNA from 1 species